CUACGGGGUGCUCCAGUGGGGAAUUUUGGACAAUGGGCGAAAGCCUGAUCCAGCCAUUCCGCGUGAGUGAUGAAGGCCUUCGGGUUGUAAAGCUCUUUCGGCCGGGAAGAAAUCGUGCAGGCUAAUAUCCUGCAUGGAUGACGGUACCGGAUCAAGAAGCACCGGCUAACUACGUGCCAGCAGCCGCGGUAAUACGUAGGGUGCGAGCGUUAAUCGGAAUUACUGGGCGUAAAGAGUUCGUAGGCGGACUGACAAGUUAGAAGUGAAAUCCCAGGGCUCAACCCUGGAACUGCCUUUAAAACUGUCAGUCUAGAGACCGGAAGAGGUUAGGGGAAUACCUAGUGUAGAGGUGAAAUUCGUAGAUAUUAGGUGGAACACCAGUGGCGAAGGCGCCUAACUGGUCCGGUACUGACGCUGAGGAACGAAAGCGUGGGGAGCAAACAGGAUUAGAUACCCCGGUAGUC
rnacentral:rRNA from 1 species